GCGCCAGCAACCCUCCUUUUCCAAAACCAUUGCAUCGUCGUUCCCUCAUCGCCGUCAACUAGUCUUAGGAGACUUUGACUAGGAACUCGAAUUACAGCCGCCUCCGUGUUACCCACGAACAUCGAACCGAACCGUACUACUCUUGUUGAGCGGGAGUGAUAGAACUGAUUCGAGUCGAACCGCUUCUCGAUUUGAUCGUGAU